ACGUCAAAUCAUCAUGCCCUUUAUGUCCUGGGCUACACACGUACUACAAUGGCCGUAACAGAGAGAAGCGAAGCAGUGAUGUGGAGCAAAACUCCAAAAGCGGUCUCAGUUCGGAUUGAAGGCUGAAAUUCGCCUUCAUGAAGCUGGAAUUGCUAGUAAUGGCAGGUCAGCAUACUGCCGUGAAUACGUUCCCGGGCCUU
rnacentral:rRNA from 1 species